GACGAACCGUGCGAACGUUGUUCGGAAUCAUUGGGUUUAAAGGGUCCGUAGGCGGUUUAGUAAGUCAGUGGUGAAAGCCCAUCGCUCAACGGUGGAACGGCCAUUGAUACUGCUAGACUUGAAUUAUUAGGAAGUAACUAGAAUAUGUAGUGUAGCGGUGAAAUGCUUAGAGAUUACAUGGAAUACCAAUUGCGAAGGCAGGUUACUACUAAUGGAUUGACGCUGAUGGACGAAAGCGUGGGUAGCGAACAGG
rnacentral:rRNA from 1 species